rnacentral:rRNA from 1 species
GGAAACCGGAGCUAAUACCGGAUAGUUCCUUGAACCGCAUGGUUCAAGAAUUGAAAGACGGUUUCGGCUGUCACUUACAGAUGGACCCGCGGCGCAUUAGCUAGUUGGUGGGGUAAUGGCUCACAAGGCGACGAUGCCUAGCGGACCUGAGAGGGUGAUCGGCCACACUGGGACUGAGACACGGCCCAGACUCCUACGGGAGGCAGCAGUAGGGAAUCUUCCGCAAUGGACGAAAGUCUGACGGAGCAACGCCGCGUGAGUGAUGAAGGUUUUCGGAUCGUAAAGCUCUGUUUGAUAGUUAGGAACAAGUGCGAGAGUAACUGCUCGCACCUUGACGGUACCUAACCAGAAAGCCACGGCUAACUACGUGCCAGCAGCCGCGGUAAUACGUAGGUGGCAAGCGUUGUCCGGAAUUAUUGGGCGUAAAGGGCUCGCAGGCGGUUUCUUAAGUCUGAUGUGAAAGCCCCCGGCUCAACCGGGGAGGGUCAUUGGAAACUGGGAAACUUGAGUGCAGAAGAGGAGAGUGGAAUUCCACGUGUAGCGGUGAAAUGCGUAGAGAUGUGGAGGAACACCAGUGGCGAAGGCGACUCUCUGGUCUGUAACUGACGCUGAGGAGCGAAAGCGUGGGGAGCGAACAGGAUUAGAUACCCUGGUAGUCCACGCCGUAAACGAUGAGUGCUAAGUGUUAGGGGGUUUCCGCCCCUUAGUGCUGCAGCUAACGCAUUAAGCACUCCGCCUGGGGAGUACGGUCGCAAGACUGAAACUCAAAGGAAUUGACGGGGGCCCGCACAAGCGGUGGAGCAUGUGGUUUAAUUCGAAGCAACGCGAAGAACCUUACCAGGUCUUGACAUCCUCUGACAACCCUAGAGAUAGGGCUUUCCCUUCGGGGACAGAGUGACAGGUGGUGCAUGGUUGUCGUCAGCUCGUGUCGUGAGAUGUUGGGUUAAGUCCCGCAACGAGCGCAACCCUUGAUCUUAGUUGCCAGCAUUCAGUUGGGCACUCUAAGGUGACUGCCGGUGACAAACCGGAGGAAGGUGGGGAUGACGUCAAAUCAUCAUGCCCCUUAUGACCUGGGCUACACACGUGCUACAAUGGACAGAACAAAGGGCUGCAAGACCGCAAGGUUUAGCCAAUCCCAUAAAUCUGUUCUCAGUUCGGAUCGCAGUCUGCAACUCGACUGCGUGAAGCUGGAAUCGCUAGUAAUCGCGGAUCAGCAUGCCGCGGUGAAUACGUUCCCGGGCCUUGUACACACCGCCCGUCACACCACGAGUAUUUGCAACACCCGAAGUCGGUGAGGUAACCUUUAUGGAGCCAGCCGCCGAAGGUGGGGCAGAUGAUGGGGGUUCCAAAG